rnacentral:rRNA from 1 species
GAGCUUGCUUCAUUGCCGGCGACCGGCGCACGGGUGAGUAACGCGUAUCCCACCUUCCGCUUACUCGGGGAUAGCCUUUCGAAAGAAAGAUUAAUACCCGAUGGUAUGAUGAGAUUGCAUGAUAGCAUCAUUAAAGAUUUAUUGGUGAGCGAUGGGGAUGCGUUCCAUUAGGUAGUAGGCGGGGUAAUGGCCCACCUAGCCUACGAUGGAUAGGGGUUCUGAGAGGAAGGUCCCCCACAUUGGAACUGAGACACGGUCCAAACUCCUACGGGAGGCAGCAGUGAGGAAUAUUGGUCAAUGGACGAGAGUCUGAACCAGCCAAGUAGCGUGAAGGAUGAAGGUCCUACGGAUUGUAAACUUCUUUUAUAAGGGAAUAAAACCUCCCACGUGUGGGAGCUUGUAUGUACCUUAUGAAUAAGCAUCGGCUAACUCCGUGCCAGCAGCCGCGGUAAUACGGAGGAUGCGAGCGUUAUCCGGAUUUAUUGGGUUUAAAGGGAGCGCAGACGGGUCGUUAAGUCAGCUGUGAAAGUUUGGGGCUCAACCUUAAAAUUGCAGUUGAUACUGGCGUCCUUGAGUGCGGUUGAGGUGUGCGGAAUUCGUGGUGUAGCGGUGAAAUGCUUAGAUAUCACGAAGAACUCCGAUUG